UUACCGAGUUUACAACUCCCAAACCCCUGUGAACAUACCACUUGUUGCCUCGGCGGAUCAGCCCGCUCCCGGUAAAACGGGACGGCCCGCCAGAGGACCCCUAAACUCUGUUUCUAUAUGUAACUUCUGAGUAAAACCAUAAAUAAAUCAAAACUUUCAACAACGGAUCUCUUGGUUCUGGCAUCGAUGAAGAACGCAGCAAAAUGCGAUAAGUAAUGUGAAUUGCAGAAUUCAGUGAAUCAUCGAAUCUUUGAACGCACAUUGCGCCCGCCAGUAUUCUGGCGGGCAUGCCUGUUCGAGCGUCAUUUCAACCCUCAAGCACAGCUUGGUGUUGGGACUCGCGUUAAUUCGCGUUCCCCAAAUUGAUUGGCGGUCACGUCGAGCUUCCAUAGCGUAGUAGUAAAACCCUCGUUACUGGUAAUCGUCGCGGCCACGCCGUUAAACCCCAACUUCUGAAUGUUGACCUCGGAUCAGGUAGGAAUACCCGCUGAACUUAAGCAUAUCAAUAA
rnacentral:rRNA from 1 species